GACGAACGCUGGCGGCGUGCCUAAUACAUGCAAGUAGAACGCUGAAGAGAGGAGCUUGCUCUUCUUGGAUGAGUUGCGAACGGGUGAGUAACGCGUAGGUAACCUGCCUUGUAGCGGGGGAUAACUAUUGGAAACGAUAGCUAAUACCGCAUAACAAUGGAUGACACAUGUCAUUUAUUUGAAAGGGGCAAUUGCUCCACUACAAGAUGGACCUGCGUUGUAUUAGCUAGUAGGUGAGGUAAUGGCUCACCUAGGCGGCGAUACAUAGCCGACCUGAGAGGGUGAUCGGCCACACUGGGACUGAGACACGGCCCAGACUCCUACGGGAGGCAGCAGUAGGGAAUCUUCGGCAAUGGGGGCAACCCUGACCGAGCAACGCCGCGUGAGUGAAGAAGGUUUUCGGAUCGUAAAGCUCUGUUGUAAGUCAAGAACGGGUGUGAGAGUGGAAAGUUCACACUGUGACGGUAGCUUACCAGAAAGGGACGGCUAACUACGUG
rnacentral:rRNA from 1 species